AGGAUUCCCCUAGUAACUGCGAGUGAACCGGGAAAAGCUCAAAUUUUGAAUCUGGCGGUCUACGGGCCGUCCGAGUUGUAAUCUAGAGAAGCGUCUUCCGCGCUGGACCGUGUAUAAGUUUCCUGGAAUGGAACGUCGUAGAGGGUGACAAUCCCGUCUUUGACACGGACUCCCAGUGCUAUGUGAUGCGCUCUCGACGAGUCGAGUUGUUUGGGAAUGCAGCUCAAAUAGGGUGGUAAAUUCCAUCUAAAGCUAAAUACAGGCGAGAGACCGAUAGCGAACAAGUACCGUGAGGGAAAGAUGAAAAGAACUUUGGAAAGAGAGUUAAACAGUACGUGAAAUUGCUGAAAGGGAAACGCUUGAUGUCAGUCGCAUCGUCCGGGGAUCAGCCUCGCUCUUUUGCUCGGCGUACUUCCUGGUCGAUGGGUCAGCAUCGGUUUCGACCGUCGGAAAAUGGCUCGAGGAACGUGGCACUCUUCGGGGUGUGUUAUAGCCUCGAGUCGAAUACGACGGUCGGGACCGAGGAACUCAGCACGACCUUCGGGUUCGGGGCUUCGGCUCACGUUCGCGUGCUUAGGAUGCUGGCAUAAUGGCCUUAAGCGACCCGUCU
rnacentral:rRNA from 1 species